rnacentral:lncRNA from 1 species
UUUUUUCAGAAGCUCGAGUCAAAUCAAUCAGACUUUAAUCUUCACAUAAUAGCUAGAGACGACAAUGGGUACAGAUAUCCAAAGUUUUAUCCGAAACUGAAUCCGACAAAAUUUUAUUUUUAAUGUCCAUAUCUAAAACUCGGCUAAAAUAAAUUCGGAUUUUCAUUUUUGAUAUCCAUAUCUAAAACUAUAUCCGUUUAGUUUUGAAUAAAUCUGCUUCAUUCAUAUUCGGAUUCAAAUAAAAUUUCGAGUAUCCGCACCGAUUGACAUCUCUAUUUAGAAAAAUUUCAUGUCUUUUUACCGAUUUUUGUGGACUUCUCUAACGCACGUAUGUUGCAUAUGACAAGUUUAACAAAAAAGUUUACGGAGAACGUAACAAAAAACGAAAAAAGAUCAAAGAAUACUUAAAUAAUAUAAUUAAAAUUACAUAAUACUAAAGUAAAAAAAAAAAAAAAAGGAAAAUUUUCAAAUACCAUCUUUGUGGUUUCUUACUUUUUCACUUUAGUACCCUGUGGUUUAAAAUGUAUUAUUUUCGUACCCUAUGGUUUCAUUUUUUUUCUUUUUUUGUUAUCUCCUUCACUAAAGUGAAUAUUCGAUAAACUAUAGUGGAGUAUUUGAAAUUUUUUGAAUAUAAUUUAACGAAAAGUCAACGGAGAGGCUGAUGAAAAAAUAAAAUGAAACCACAGGAUACUAAAUGGAUACACUUUAAAUCAUACCAUACAAAAAUGAGAAAGUGCAAAAUCACAAAAGUGGUAUUUUAAAAAAUAAUGAAAGAUAAUGUCUCCCUAUACUACUGUUUCCCUAUUAUGUUGCAGGAAAUGGUUAUGCGAUCAAGAAAAGUAGUUGGCAAAAUUUUAGUACAAGGAUUUUUCAACAACGUAGUUUAAAUAACUUCAAUAACUUUUUAAAAAUAAUUUUAGUAACUUUUUUAUUGGAAAAUCUCUAGGCUAUAUUAUAUUUCUGGUCCCCAAAUUAUAAGCCCCGUGAUACUUUAAUGCUAAAGUUUUUAUUUGUUAUAAUUUCUGACUCGAACUUAAUAAAUUAUUGCAAUCAAGUCCCACCACUUAAUUCAGUUGACUAAAUAUUGACAUGUCGCUGAUAAGAAAAUGUUAUAAUAUCUCAAUUAUUGUCACGUUGUCAAUUGCGGCACUACCAUGCAGACAUAUUAAUAUUUGGUCAACUAAAUUAAAUUAUAAAAUUUAACUGAAACAAUUUAAAAAAUAGAAACAAAAAAUUAUAAUAAAUUAAAAUUUGAUAAUCAAAAUACCAAAUAUCUCAUA